rnacentral:rRNA from 1 species
GACAGAGGGUGCAAACGUUGUUCGGAAUUACUGGGCGUAAAGAGCGCGCAGGCGGUCGUCCAAGUCGCGUGUGAAAGCCCCCGGCUCAACUGGGGAGGGUCACGCGAUACUGGUCGACUCGAAGGCAGGAGAGGGAAGCGGAAUUUCCGGUGUAGCGGUGAAAUGCGUAGAUAUCGGAAGGAACAUCAGUGGCGAAAGCGGCUUCCUGGACCAGCACCGACGUUCAGGCACGAAAGCGUGGGGAGCAAACAGG